rnacentral:rRNA from 1 species
UACAGAGGUCUCAAGCGUUGUUCGGAUUCAUUGGGCGUAAAGGGUGCGUAGGCGGCGCGGUAAGUCGGGUGUGAAGUCUCGGAGCUUAACUCCGAAACUGCAUUCGAUACUGCCGUGCUUGAGGACUGGAGAGGAGACUGGAAUUUACGGUGUAGCGGUGAAAUGCGUAGAGAUCAUGAGGAAGACCAGUGGCGAAGGCGGGUCUCUGGACAGUUCCUGACACUGAGGCACGAAGGCCAGGGGAGCAAACGGG